GCGCGCUCUCCCGCGUCUGUGAUUCGGCUGAAGAAAGGUCACCGUGGCCACCAGAUCCAGUCUGUGUCCAGAUCAGAGGGUCACUGCAGUCACCCGGAUCCAGUACGUAUCCAGACCAGAUGGUGGAUCAGCACCUAGAAAGGACCUCUACUGCCCUGAAAGACAGCGGAGACCAGGACAACUAGAGCCCCAGAUACAGAUCCCCUGUAAAGACCUUGUCUCAGAGGAGCACCAGGACAAGACCACAGGAAACAGAUGAUUCUUCUGCACAAUCUGACUUUGCUGCAGCCUGGAAUUGAACUACUGGUUUCGUCUGGUCAGAGGAGAACUGGCCCCCCAACUGAGCCUGGUUUCUCCCAAGGUUUUUUUCUCCAUUCUGUCACCGAUGGAGUUUCGGUUCCUUGCCGCUGUCGCCUCUGGCUUGCUUAGUUGGGGUCACUUCAUCUACAGCGAUAUCGUUGACUUGAUUGCAAAUAAAAACAGACACUAUUUCAACUGAACAGAGAUGACAUCACUGAAUUCAAUGAUGAACUGCCUUUAACUAUCAUUUUGCAUUAUUGAGACACUGUUUUCCAAAUGAAUGUUGUUCAGUGCUUUGGCGCAAUGUAUUUUGUUUAAAGCACUAUAUAAAUAAAGGUGAUUGAAUGACAA